rnacentral:rRNA from 1 species
AUGCCCGAUCUGGAGCUUGAUCGGUGCAUGGCAAAUUUUGAUAGACAUGAUUGGUUAAAAUUUGCCAUGUGUAUCUCUGAUUUCUUAUACAAGUUUGCCAUGUUGUCUAUAACACAUGGAAAAAUUCUGAAAAUGUUAGUAGUACGCCAUUUAAUAAUUAAGAGAAAUAUUCUAAAUAAUGUGGUAUUUUUUUGGAAAAUCAUAUGGAAAAAUUCAGAAUUUUUUGUCUGCUCAAACAUGACAUUUUUUAGAGAAAUUUUCAUUUGCUUACAUGACAUUUUUGUAAAGUCACAUGACACAUGUUUGACACGUUAUCAUGGCAAAAUUCAUAAAAGUCGCUUACUCAAACAUGACCCUAGCAUGUAG